UAUUUAUGUAGUUUAAUAAAAAACAUUACAUUUUCACUGUAAAAAUAAAGCUUAAGCUUUCUUAAAUA
rnacentral:tRNA from 1 species